rnacentral:rRNA from 1 species
GACGAACGCUGGCGGCGUGCUUAACACAUGCAAGUCGAACGGAAAGGCCCUGCUUUUGUGGGGUGCUCGAGUGGCGAACGGGUGAGUAACACGUGAGUAACCUGCCCUUGACUUUGGGAUAACUUCAGGAAACUGGGGCUAAUACCGGAUAGGAGCUCCUGCUGCAUGGUGGGGGUUGGAAAGUUUCGGCGGUUGGGGAUGGACUCGCGGCUUAUCAGCUUGUUGGUGGGGUAGUGGCUUACCAAGGCUUUGACGGGUAGCCGGCCUGAGAGGGUGACCGGCCACAUUGGGACUGAGAGACGGCCCAGACUCCUACGGGAGGCAGCGAUGGGGAAUAUUGCACAAUGGGCGGAAGCCUGAUGCAGCAACGCCGCGUGCGGGAUGACGGCCUUCGGGUUGUAAACCGCUUUCGCCUGUGACGAAGCGUGAGUGACGGUAAUGGGUAAAGAAGCACCGGCUAACUACGUG